AUUCUGUACUCUCUUUGGGACUAACUUUGAUUGCUCUUUAUUUUUCUGCAGGAUGAAUAUAGUUGUCGUUAUCAAGCUGAGAAUUCUAUCACGAAGUGUUCCACAACGGGGGUCAUCCUGGCAGGAGAUGAAAAAGCCCUCCUGGAGGCGGUGGCCACGGUUGGCCCAAUUGCUGUCGGAGUGGAUGCUCGGAGCUCCAACUUUCGGUUUUAUAAGUCAGGUGUCUUUAAAAAUCCCUGGCAGGGAGAUCCGUACUUGGUUCAUGCCAUGCUGGUGGUUGGCUACAACAGCACCAAGCAUUGGAUUGUGAAGAACAGUUGGUCUCGUUUUUGGGGAGACGAUGGAUACAUGCUCUUGGAGCUAGGAUCGAAUCAAUUGGGCAUCGCCAAUGAUGCUAGCUACCCCAUUCCCUAACCAGCCAAGUGGACCGUUUGAGAAGCGGGACGAAAAAAAUCCCCCAGGAAUAAUCUGCAGUUUCUGAAGCUUCUGGAGAACCAGCAAACAUAUAUAUAUAUAUACAAGCUAUAAUCAAUAAAUGCUUUGACGCAAUGCUUCCUAUGA
rnacentral:lncRNA from 1 species